AGCGCAGGCGGCAGGGCAAGUCAGAUGUGAAAGCCCGGGGCUCAACCCCGGGACUGCAUUUGAAACUGUCCAGCUGGAGUACAGGAGAGGCAGGCGGAAUUCCUAGUGUAGCGGUGAAAUGCAUAGAUAUUAGGAGGAACACCAGUGGCGAAGGCGGCCUGCUGGACUGUAACUGACGCUGAGGCUGAAAGCGUGGGGGAGCAAACGA
rnacentral:rRNA from 1 species